rnacentral:misc_RNA from 1 species
UACGGAGGGUGCAAGCGUUGUUCGGAAUUAUUGGGCGUAAAGGGCAGGUAGGUGGUCUCGUAAGUUUAGUGUGAAAUCCCCGGGCUUAACUCGGGAACUGCGCUAGAUACUGCGAGACUAGAGUGCUAGAGGGGUGUGUGGAAUUCCCGGUGUAGCGGUGAAAUGCGUAGAUAUCGGGAGGAACAUCAGAGGCGAAGGCGACACACUAGAUGGCAACUGACACUCAACUGCGAAAGCGUGGGGAGCAAACAGG